AUGCACGCUGGCGGCGUGCCUAAUACAUGCAAGUCGAGCGAACAGACGAGGAGCUUGCUCCUCUGACGUUAGCGGCGGACGGGUGAGUAACACGUGGAUAACCUACCUAUAAGACUGGGACAACUUCGGGAAACCGGAGCUAAUACCGGAUAAUAUAUUGAACCGCAUGGUUCAAUAGUGAAAGACGGUUUUGCUGUCACUUAUAGAUGGAUCCGCGCCGCAUUAGCUAGUUGGUAAGGUAACGGCUUACCAAGGCAACGAUGCGUAGCCGACCUGAGAGGGUGAUCGGCCACACUGGAACUGAGACACGGUCCAGACUCCUACGGGAGGCAGCAGUAGGGAAUCUUCCGCAAUGGGCGAAAGCCUGACGGAGCAACGCCGCGUGAGUGAUGAAGGUCUUCGGAUCGUAAAACUCUGUUAUUAGGGAAGAACAAAUGUGUAAGUAACUAUGCACGUCUUGACGGUACCUAAUCAGAAAGCCACGGCUAACUACGUG
rnacentral:rRNA from 1 species